UACGUAGGGGGCAAGCGUUGUCCGGAUUUAUUGGGCGUAAAGCGCGCGCAGGCGGUCUGCCAAGUUCGGAGUGACAGUUUCCGGCUUAACCGGAAAAGGUCUUCGAAAACUGGUGGACUUGAGGACUUGAGGGGGAGACGGAAUUCCGGGUGGAGCGGUGAAAUGCGUAGAGAUCCGGAGGAACACCGAAGGCGAAGGCAGUCUCCUGGCAAGUUACUGACGCUCAGGUGCGAAAGCUAGGGGAGCGAACAGGAUUAGAUACCCUGGUAGUCCUAGCCGUAAACGAUGACCACUGGGCGUGGGAGGUAUCGACCCCUUCCGUGCCGCAGCAUACGCACUAAGUGGUCCGCCUGGGGAGUACGGUCGCAAGAUUAAAACUCAAAGGAAUUGACGGGGACCCGCACAAGCAGCGGAGCGUGUGGUUUAAUUCGAUGCAACGCGAAGAACCUUACCAAGGCUUGACAUGCAAUUGCACCACCCGUAAUGGGGUGUCCCUUCGGGGCGGUUGCACAGGUGCUGCAUGGCUGUCGUCAGCUCGUGUCGUGAGAUGUUGGGUUCAGUCCCGCAACGAGCGCAACCCCUGCCGCUAGUUAUCGUGUCUAGCGGGACCGCCGCGAUCAACGCGGAGGAAGGCGGGGAUGACGUCAAGUCAGCACGGCCCUUACGUCUUGGGCUACACACACGCUACAAUGGUCGGAACAACGGGCAGCCAACCCGCGAGGGGGAGCCAAUCCCAUCAAAACCGGCCUCAGUUCAGAUUGUAGGCUGAAACCCGCCUGCAUGAAGGAGGAGUUGCUAGUAACCGUGGGUCAGCACACUACGGUGAAUACGUUCCCGGGUCU
rnacentral:rRNA from 1 species